rnacentral:lncRNA from 1 species
GGGGGACGCGCAGGGCCGAGUGUGCCCGAGCCCGGGCGCGUACACGUGUCCGUGUGUGUGUGCGGGAGUGUGCGAGGGAGAGAGGCGAGGCGAGGAGAGGAGCCUACCAUGCGCUUCCCCCGGUGCGGAUCGCGGGAGAGCCCAAUCGCGGGGCGAGCUGGACCUGGCUGUGAUCAUUUAUAAUCCUUGACUCCUCCGCUCCGCCACUUGUCAAGAUGACAGGGUGGGCAUCAGGUCAGCUGAGUCACCCGAGGAGGUGGGAGUGCAAGACACUGCCGGGAAGACGGAUUCCGCGGCAGAAGGGUGUAAUUAAGGAUUUCCACCCCCGGACGGGGAGAAGGCUGAGUGCCUUUGACGCUGCCUGUACCACUGUAGCUGCCUUCCUGCCUCUUAGUAGCCCUGGGAGUACUUGA